UUAAUAAUAAACUCUUAUUAAAUAUUGCCGGCCUUUCCUACACGGUUCUGUAUAUUAUUAAGAAUUUAUUUGGUAUUUAGAUCCUUGGCUACAUGGGCUCUAUAAUAUUUGCUUGCACACACACCAAUACAUACCAAGUUGCGGCACAUGGUUAUAAUAUUCAAAAAGUAUAAGUCGUAGAUACUAACUAGUUACCUAUUUAUUAAGAUUGGCAUUUCUUAUAAAAUUUAAUAUUUCGUUUAUUUUAAUGCUAUUUAUAGGCAUUUGUAGUAUUUGUUUUUGUUUAGUUUUUUAUUAUAAAUAUAAAUAAUUUUUUUUGGCUAAGUCAAAAUUCUUGAAAAUGUACCUAAUACUAAGUUCCUCAUAAGUUAUUCUUAUAAUGAUUAAAAAAUUAUAAGAAUACAAAGGCACAAUUUUUUAUUGGCAUUUGAAAUUCAAAUGUUGACAACGAUUUUUUAAAAUCAUGAAUAUUUAUAAAUUAUUUUAUAGAUAAAAUUUUUAAAAAAAUUUGUGAAGUAGCUAUAAGAAUUGAAAAUGUAAUACAAGAUUUUCCAUAAGUUUGGCUUACAACAAGUAUAAAAGAACUUGAAUGUUCGGUUAGGUUAGGUUGGUCAAUUUAAAAAAUCUUAUCCUUAAUUUAAAUUUUUAUUCACUCGUUAAAUAAUGAUUUACUAUUAAUUAAUUUUAGAUUUCUGUUAUAGACUUAUAAUUAAAAAUUACUAUUCGUAGAAACUUGAAACAUACACCAGUUGUUUAAAUUGGCAUUUUCUGUAAAUGAUUUACUUUAGAGGUACUCAGGUCAUGAAAACAUAAACCUUCUUUUCACCACCCACUUUAAAAUAUAAUAUAUUUAUACAUUAUAUUCUAGGCUAACAAAUCAUCUCCGUUCAGAAUCGUUUUUCGUGUACAAUGAUACCAUUGAUACCUAUUAUUGAGUUCAAAUUUAAUACUUCUAUAUAUAAUUGUGAACAACACGAUACCUAAUAUACAACAGAGCGGUGGCCACUUGACCACGCUUUUUUAUACUUUAUAAUAUUAUUAAUAUUCUCAUUAAUUAGUUACUGCUUAUGUCCUAUAUUAUAAUUAAUAAUUUGUAAUAUACACUAUACUAAGUAUUUAAAUAUUUAAUCCAUAUUUAAAUGACAAACACGUCGUCUAUAGCAACGUUGACUGUUCUGAAGUGCUGGCCAUUUGACCAGGGUGUUUGCAGCCACCAUUACCUUCCAACGUUAAAGUUAUUGUUAAUGAAUAAUGAUUGUAACAUUGUUAAAAUAACUAAAUGAAUUGUUGUUUUUGCCAUAUUUUAUCGUUAAUUUGACAUAAUAUACCUAAUUAGGCCAGGUGGUUGGGCAAUGUGCCCCCCCUCCAGAAAAAAAUGUCGAGCUAUGAUAGCUUAAUUAGGUAUUAAUAAUCAAUAGGUAGGUAGUAAUAAUUAAUUAAAAAAUAUUUUAAAAAUGUGUUAUAUUAUAAUAUUAUAAUUUGUUAAAAAUCUACAAAAUAUACAAAACAUAAUAUUAUAAUAAUAUAUAACAAUACAAGUAUGAAUUGUUCCAGCACAUGCCUCGGCCGACGGAGCACCUUGAUUAUGUAUCGCUUUAAUUUUUUCGCUUUUCGUCGACAGAUCCUAUAGACCGUCGGCUGGCGCGGCUGGCGCGGCUGGCGCGGCUGGCGCGGCAGGGGCGGCUGGGGCGGCUGGGGCGGCUGGGGCGGCUGGGGCGGCGUUUGCAGUCUUGCAGGAGGAAUAAUUGGCAUCCGUCUUUGUCUGGGCCGCCUGAGGAGAUGAGGAUCAUUCAAAAACGGUUCCGGUUGAAUACAGAACAGAGCCGGAUAGAAAUGAUGACACGAAACGUUUACUUGGUCUUCGAGCAGCGUAGUACAGACUAAACACGUGUUUGGGGUAGAAAUUUUCUCGUCCGUUGGUGUAGACGCCUGACGACCGGCUUGCAGAACUGAAUAGUGAAUACUGAUUCCAUGGAUUCAAUGCUUACUUAACAGAGUCCAAUAUUUGCUCCAAAAGGGACCAUGAUGCUGCUGAUUAUAGAUUUAACAAGUCAGUCAAUCACGCAUUAAUCAUGGUAGCUGCCACAGCAGCUGCAAAGGCAGCAGCCAUGGCCAAAGGCAAACGACUGGAAGCCGAGGAUGCUUAGGCACCUGCAACAGCACCAGCACCGGACAGUGGUGCAAAUAAUGCUGGGAAUGUAGUUGAUGACCAAGAAUAAGUAUUCAACUACUCACAUAAAUGUUUAUGUAUUACAUAAAAUUCAAAUUAUAUUGUUUUGUUUUAUAUUUUUUUUUUAGCCAAUAAACAUUUAUCAAAAUAUCAA